rnacentral:rRNA from 1 species
UAGGGAAUCUUCGGCAAUGGGGGGAACCCUGACCGAGCAACGCCGCGUGAGUGAAGAAGGUUUUCGGACCGUAAAGCUCUGUUGUUAAGGAAGAACGAGUGUGAGAAUGGAAAGUUCAUGCUGUGACGGUACUUAACCAGAAAGGGACGGCUAACUACGUGCCAGCAGCCGCGGUAAUACGUAGGUCCCGAGCGUUGUCCGGAUUUAUUGGGCGUAAAGCGAGCGCAGGCGGUUAGAAAAGUCUGAAGUGAAAGGCAGUGGCUCAACCAUUGUAGGCUUUGGAAACUGUUUAACUUGAGUGCAGAAGGGGAGAGUGGAAUUCCAUGUGUAGCGGUGAAAUGCGUAGAUAUAUGGAGGAACACCGGUGGCGAAAGCGGCUCUCUGGUCUGUAACUGACGCUGAGGCUCGAAAGCGUGGGGAGCGAACAGG